AUGGGCGGUCGGAGAAAACUACUUGACUGAAAACCUAAAUCUUUGUGGUUUGGACAAAGUUAGGACAAUUGCGCACUGUGUUUUUGUUACCCAGCAGCACACCUCUCUCCUCCGCCCCCUCGCCAUCGUUCCCGGAUGGAGGAGAAAGUCACGCAAACAGGUGGCAGAGUAUCUCUGAAUCGGCGCAUACAAGUCUCUCUAGUUUCGGUAAACUUUGUUUAAACUUUGUCUCGCUCAAACACGAAGGCUUAGUGUAUAUAUCGGGCAAGAUUUCGACACAGACAAGGCAUUAAACACGGAUUUAUGUGCAUAAUUGGAUGCGCCCCCCGAGGCACCAACGAGCAUCGAGGCGAAGUCAGCUAGCUAACGCUAACGCUAGCUAUCUCAAGUACGUCCUCACGGUACUGGCUGUCCUGGGUGAGGUGAUAAUCCCUGUAGACCUGCAGGACAAACUUCAGGUUCAAGUCCUUCCAGUCUGCUGUGUCGUGGAUGAGAGAAGUUGAUGACAUCAUCUUUCUCCUACCUGGGUCUCCUAUGUCGUGAGGCACCACGUUUUUGGCCUUGACUGGAGAAUACCGCCCACUCAUCAGAUGGAGCCUUUCUGUUGGGUCCUGGUUAACCACACUGCCAGCUGAGAGGAGAAUCAAGCUGUAAAACUAGCCCUGGUAGGCAAAACGGCCAUACUCCUUGACGACAGCAGGCUGGGCUGGCAGCCCUCCGUCCUCGCUGCGCACACCACCACUGACAUCAGCGUCCUCUGGUAGCUCUGUCCACACCGUCCCUCCAUCCACCACAAAGUACAACUCAUUAAACAGGGCUGACUUAUACCAGGAAGGGAGAGAACUGCAAUGCACAAGACAACAGUAUAAACAAUAGUUUGAUUGAUAAUAAAGUUGUCAUAAUGUA